CUACGUGCCAGCAGCCGCGGUAAUACGUAGGGUGCGAGCGUUAAUCGGAAUUACUGGGCGUAAAGCGAGCGCAGACGGUUACUUAAGCAGGAUGUGAAAUCCCCGGGCUCAACCUGGGAACUGCGUUCUGAACUGGGUGACUAGAGUGUGUCAGAGGGAGGUAGAAUUCCACGUGUAGCAGUGAAAUGCGUAGAGAUGUGGAGGAAUACCGAUGGCGAAGGCAGCCUCCUGGGAUAACACUGACGUUCAUGCUCGAAAGCGUGGGUAGCAAACAGGAUUAGAUACCCUGGUAGUCCACGCUGUAAACGAUGUCGAUUUGGGGAUUGGGCUUUGAGCUUGGUGCCCGUAGCUAACGUGAUAAAUCGACCGCCUGGGGAGUACGGCCGCAAGGUUAAAACUCAAAUGAAUUGACGGGGGCCCGCACAAGCGGUGGAGCAUGUGGUUUAAUUCGAUGCAACGCGAAGAACCUUACCUACUCUUGACAUCCAUGGAAUCUUGUAGAGAUAUGAGAGUGCUUCGGGAAC
rnacentral:rRNA from 1 species